AGCCAUAUCCAAUGUUCCUCCU
rnacentral:miRNA from 1 species